rnacentral:lncRNA from 1 species
UCGUCCUCGAAAUUGACGUACGUACCUGGUGUUUCGAAAAGGUGAGGAUACCUCGCUUUCAUUUCCGUUUCCAACUCCCAGGUCAUUUCCUCUAUAGCAUGGUUCCUCCAUAAAACUUUAACUUGUGGUAUGACCUUCGUGCGUAGGACAUGCUCUUUCCUAUCCAAGAUCUUGACAGGUACCUCUUCGUACGUUAAGUCUU